UGAAGGUUUUCGGAUCGUAAAACUCUGUUGUCAGGGAAGAACAAGUACCGGAGUAACUGCCGGUACCUUGACGGUACCUGACCAGAAAGCCACGGCUAACUACGUGCCAGCAGCCGCGGUAAUACGUAGGUGGCAAGCGUUGUCCGGAAUUAUUGGGCGUAAAGCGCGCGCAGGCGGUCUUUUAAGUCUGAUGUGAAAGCCCCCGGCUCAACCGGGGAGGGUCAUUGGAAACUGGGAGACUUGAGUGCAGAAGAGAAGAGUGGAAUUCCACGUGUAGCGGUGAAAUGCGUAGAGAUGUGGAGGAACACCAGUGGCGAAGGCGACUCUUUGGUCUGUAACUGACGCUGAGGCGCGAAAGCGUGGGGAGCGAACAGGAUUAGAUACCCUGGUAGUCCACGCCGUAAACGAUGAGUGCUAAGUGUUAGAGGGUUUCCGCCCUUUAGUGCUGCAGCAAACGCAUUAAGCACUCCGCCUGGGGAGUACGGCCGCAAGGCUGAAACUCAAAGGAAUUGACGGGGGCCCGCACAAGCGGUGGAGCAUGUGGUUUAAUUCGAAGCAACGCGAAGAACCUUACCAGGUCUUGACAUCCUCUGACCUUCCUAGAGAUAGGACUUUCCCCUUCGGGGGACAGAGUGACAGGUGGUGCAUGGUUGUCGUCAGCUCGUGUCGUGAGAUGUUGGGUUAAGUCCCGCAACGAGCGCAACCCUUGAG
rnacentral:rRNA from 1 species